UACAAAAGGAGUGUUAUCGCGACGCUUAUUGCUCGACGCCACAGUAUAGGCGUUGGGUGGGGUAAAAAGUUUGCGCCUCACCUCAGCGCCUAAAAGCGUCGACAAGUUUGGCAAUGCAUUUUCGCGUCCAAAAAUCACAUGUGCAGCACGUGGACUUCUUUUUCAUUAAAACCGCACAUCAUCACUUCUUAUAACUCCCAUUAGAUCCACGUCUAACACCAAACCCUAUCGUCUCCCAAUUCACUCACUGGCGAUCGUCUCCCAGUUCACUCAUUUCACUCACUAGCGUGUGAAUUCAUCAACGCUGAUUCUUCUCAAUUCACUCACCGGCAUGUGAAUUCAUCAGUCUUGAACCAACUGCAAGAUGCGCGAAAACGAUAAUUUGCAAUCGAAAUCUAUGAGAUUUCAAUAUCGUCUUCAGUAGGCCAAGGAUUGUUGCGAAUCCUCUUCAGUAGGCUAAGGAUUGUUGCGAAUCAACCGAAAUCUAGGUUUGUUGCGAAUUAUCAUAUUUUUUUCUUGAAUUGUAAGAUUUCAAUUUGAAUUUAGGAAAUCGUCUCUGAACUCUUUGUCCUCAACCUUCAUAUCAAUUAGGGCUGGCGGAAUAGAACACUUUGUUUAAGGAAAUUCAGGACUUUUUAAACAAUUAAGGGUAUGCUUCUUAUCAUGAAUAUUACGUGAUAAAUUGGCAAUGUUUUCAAUUUCUUGGCUACAUUAAUGAUCAAUUCAGUUCAAUAGUUAAAAUUUCAUCUGGAUUAUAUUGCGAAUUAUCGUAUUUUUUUCUUGAAUUUAUAAGGUUUCAAUCUAAAUUCACGAAAUCGUAUCUAUAUUCUUUGUCCUCAACCUUCCAUCAAUUAGGGCUGGCGGAAUUGAACACUUUGUUUAAGGACAUUUAGGUUCGUUUAAGGAAAUUCUAGGCUUUUUAAAUUAAAAGGUUAGUACUUUUAAAUAAUUAAGGGUAUGCUUCUUAUCAUGAAUAUUACGCGACAAAUUGGAAUUUCAGCCAACUUUUACCGUCCAUAAGGUACUUCAAUAACACUGAAAUACCAACUUUAUUAUUUGGUAAGUUGAGUAGUAAAACAAUUUUAUAGUUUUUGCUCACUUAAAGAACUAUUUGUAUCGUUGAUGUUCAACAGUUGGGUACUUCAUCUAAAAUCCCAAUCAUGUGCCUUUAAUAUAUGCUCUCUCUACAUGAUGAUAAUGAUUUUAAUUUGUACUGGAUGGAAGACUAAAGAUAUCAGGUCUUCUUGUUAUGUUGUCCAACCCUCAGGUUUCAUGUGAUGUGCCUCUUUGGGCUGCUAUUGGAGGACCGGAUGUGGAGCGGUUACCCUCAGCUUCGACAUGCUACAACACUCUAAAGUGUGGCAGUACAUUAUGAGGAUAUAUACUCUGGCUGAAAUGGGUGAAAUCUUUGAUAGUACACAUGAAGGA